UAUGGCAAUUAGCUUCUUUUAUGAACCAAACCUCAUGCAAACAUGUUGUUGCUAAGAAUGAGAUUGUAGAUAGAGUUAGAAGAACACUGAUGGGAUGGUGAGUAGAAUUAUCAUCUUUCUAACCCUAUCAACAAUCUGAUUCUUUUAUGACACAUCUGAGACCUGCCAAGAAAUUCCCAGUAUGCACAAGCACCCUCAUCUGAUCUUUAAGACCAGUCAUCAAAUCAUCAUCUUCCUGACCCAUAGUCGUCAAGGAAUCAAGGAUAGUGAAUAUUACACGUAUGACAUAACCAACCCGCUGUCGAUGACCUCCCUACUUUGGGUGUAAGACGAGGACUUUUCAGGAGGUCACUAACCGUUAUCUGGUGCAUUAUUCUUCCCAUGGUCGGCAGAAAGAACUCCUUUAAUUGGCCAAGAGAUAAUUACUGGAGACUACUGACAAGAUUUUCUUCAAUAUGAGAUUAUGAAUGACAUGAGAAGAUUCUUUGACCGUGUCCUUUGCAUAACAAAUUAGUUUUUUUUUUUUUUUUUUGAACCUUGAUUUUGUUGAUUCAAUUUUGAAUUGUUCUCUCAUUCUGAUGUGAGAUAUGUAUUGGAUUUGAAUUGGAAAGUUUUGAUUUGGGGGUUUAUACGCAUAUUACUUUGUUGUGUUUGCCUUGAUAUUUAGAACAACCAGACAAACAAUUUCUGAACAUCAUCUUCAAAUUUUACAGGUAUGACAAAUCUGCUCUGGCUUUUCUUCAAGAAAGGUCUGCCCAUAAAGAUUUACUUCGUUCUUUUCUUAAAGCCUUAGUCUUUUUCAUGUUGGUCAUUGCGAUUUUGACUUCUAUACAUCAAUUUGGAACAACUGCUUACCAAGAAAGGGUUGGACGAACUUCACUUGCGGGAAGCUCAACUUCAAGUUCAGCACUUGGAUGUAAUGUAAAUGGAUUAUACAUGUUGAAGGAGCCAACAUCUCCACUGUUUUUCUACUCCGAGAAGCCUCUCCAUCAACAUCAGCCUUUCCUCUUGGCCGACAUCAAAACCGCCCAUCAACAUCACGAUCACUCAAAAGCUUGAGGUUCAGAAAUUUGGUGAGAUCGCAAAACAACCUAUGUCGGAAGGUGAUAAUUCCGCAAAGUCUGUUGACCGCAAAUUAUCAUAUCGAUUGUUUUACCUCAAUGCAAUUUUUUCGUAGACUGAGUUCAACUGAAUGAUAUCAUUAAUGACAUAUCAGACAAGAGCUCAACUCAUAUAUAUCAUAUGAGCAAUUGAAGAGUGAACGAGGAAGCCAUGGAUUGGAGAGUGAUUACUAUUUACUGGCAUUGAACUUUUCCCUCAACGAAUGAGCCUUUCCUCUGUAAAGGGCAGAAGCAAUAAUCAAAAACGAAUAUACAUCACUACUUGGAGAUGAGGCAAAGGGUUGGUUGGAUACCACAUAUCUGUCCCAAUCUGGCAAUUUUCGUAUCUCAAGAAGAAAUAAGUGCAGGGAACAACAUUUGUUCUGCAAGAGAGAGCUGAACUUAGGCAAAGACUAUUGUCAAUCAUGUCCACUGGUACAAGAGUUAAAGAGGUAAUCAAGGAGUUUAUUUCCUUAUAUCAAAGUAUAGGUGAAUUGGAACUCCAAGAAGGGGAAUGGGAAAUGGUUUGGAGUUUGACAGGUUAUGUUUCUUUCCAAACAAUAAGUUCGGUUCGGUUCAGUCUUGGUCUUUGCUGUGGUUCUUCGUGUCGCUUAGAUUGAUAGUGAGGGAGGUUGUUGAUCGGCAUAGACAGUUUGGCGGCAUAAAAGAACAAAAUAAGAGGCAUGGGGAAAGCCACUACAAAGAAAUUCCAGGGAUUAGUAAAGCAAACAUCGAGUUCCUAUUGGUCAAGCGUUGACAACAGAGAUUGAACUCUAUGACGUCAGAAGAAAUGAGUAUAGAGAGAUAUAUAGGCGUACAAAAGGAGCUUGAUAUAUUAACCAUUAUUUACGUACAAGACCCUUUGGAAUGGAUUGGGUUUCCAGCUUUCUGCAAAUUAAACAAUAUCAGAGUAAAUUCUAUAGUUUCAAGCACCAUAGUUUCUUACUUUGUUUCACUUUAGGAUUUACGCAUACUUUGUGUAAGGAAGACACUUUGUGUAAGGAAGACAGAGCUGCAAGGGAAUAUGCAAAAACAAAAGUGAAGAUUUCGGUCCUAACACCAAAUUAUCGCGCAGAGCAACCUAAUUUUCCAUAAAGUAGAAGUUCCAACCAACUCACAUUCUUUCCACACACACACAAAUGCAUAUAUAACCCUUCUAUCACCCUUGUUGGGGUUGAGGUCGGAAUUCAACCUCAUUCCCAUCUAGGGAAACCUGUGUCAACUAGGACCUUGGAAACCAGCUAACCAUACUCAUCUUAUUAGGUGGCCAGCAAUUUUACCAUUCCAGGACAGGCAUGUGCUGACCAAACUAACACAAUAAAAUAGCCUAGUUACUAAAAUAUGAUCUGAUGUUGUCUGGAAAAAAGAUGAUAUAAGAAUCUUUACCUUGAUGUUGCUGUCUUUCAAAGUUCUCAUAAUGUCAUACAAGAGACCCUUGUGAUCAGCACAGUGGAUCUGAAGUAAUGUAUGUGCUGGGCUCAAUGAGUUGUCUAUUGUUACAUUAGCGUUCUUCAAUUUCGUCAUAUCAGGACUAAGUGCUUGAGAACGGAUUUCUUUAUCCAACAGCUCACACCUAAAUAGCUCUUCAGCUACUACAGGAGACAGAGAAGGAAUGCCAUGGUGGGGAUCAUACUCGGGACCUACCAACUGAAGUUCGCAACUGGUA